rnacentral:ncRNA from 1 species
GUGGUGGUUAAAACUCACCUAGCCGAAUACUAGGGCCCCGAAAAUGAAUGGCGCAUAUAGUACUACCGAUCUCAGACAUCAGUUCUAUUGAACUGAGAGUAGGGGGAUGUGGACAUUUUUGUGAAGGUGCAAUGUGAGUUGGACUGGAAGAAUGUCUAUUACAGAUCCUAAUUGAAGUAGCGAUUAUCCAGGCUUGUAUCCUGGGGGCUGAUGAGGAGUAGGGUUUCUGGACAACUUAAACAGAUCCAGAGUUAGUCGAUCCUAAUCUCAAUAAUGGGAGAAAGGGAGUACAGUUGAUAUUCUGUAACUGACAACAGUUCGCGGCAACGCAUACUAUUUUUCUCCGCCAAUCUUAUACCGUUGGUAGGGAUCUCUUUCCUACAUGACAGUACUAAUACCCAGGGAAACUGGUCAUCAGGCGAACUGCGGCGUUCUGCUGGCAAAACAUAGCUUCGGUUAUGUCAAUGGCUAUUGGAUUGGUCCAUGAAGCGAAAAAUAGUUUACUGUGUCACUCGUACCGAUAACCGCAUCAGGUCUUCUAGGUAAGUAGCCUAUGGCCAUUGAGGCAUGAUAGUUCAGGGAAUUCGGCCAAUUAGAGCUGUAACUUCGGGAUAAAGCUUGGCUCUGAUGAAAAUCAGAACCGAUUGUUACGCGGAGAGCCCAACUGUUUAAUAAAAACGUAGUGUCGCGCUGUGGUAGUAUAGCCAGUGAACGCGACAUGAAUCCUGCUCAGUGCUGUGUCUGUUAAUAUGGUUCAAGCCAACGAAGCACCGGUAAAUAGCUGGGGUAACUAUGACUCUUAUCAAAGUAGCGAAAUACCUCGUCACUUAAUUAGUGACCUGCAUGAACGGAGCUA